AAUAACCAAAUAUAACACUGGGGCUAAGGGUCAAAUUGGUAAUUUUUCUUACAUCUCCCCCCCCCCCGAACCUGUGUU
rnacentral:ncRNA from 2 species